rnacentral:rRNA from 1 species
UUACACUGGCAUUCGUGUCGGCAUGUGUAGGAUAGGUGGUAGGCUUUGAAGCAGGGACGCCAGUUUCUGUGGAGCCAUCCUUGAAAUACCACCCUGGUAAUAUUGAGGUUCUAACUCUGUCCCGUUAUCCGGGACGAGGACCAUGUCUGGUGGGUAGUUUGACUGGGGCGGUCUCCUCCCAAAGUGUAACGGAGGAGCACGAAGGUCAGCUAAUCCUGGUCGGACAUCAGGAGGUUAGUGCAAUGGCAUAAGCUGGCUUGACUGCGAGAGUGACGGCUCGAGCAGGUGCGAAAGCAGGUCAUAGUGAUCCGGUGGUUCUGUAUGGAAGGGCCAUCGCUCAACGGAUAAAAGGUACUCCGGGGAUAACAGGCUGAUACCGCCCAAGAGUUCAUAUCGACGGCGGUGUUUGGCACCUCGAUGUCGGCUCAUCACAUCCUGGGGCUGUAGUCGGUCCCAAGGG